rnacentral:lncRNA from 1 species
GGUAUCUUGUCAACGUGAAGUGAUAACAUUCUAGUGGAGUAAAACAAGAAAAUAGAAGUCAAUACAGGAGGAAAUUCCCUGAAACGACUGCCCAAUGGUCAAGAAUAUGACAACAGUAUAACUGUGGCCAAAACAAAUAAUGGAAAAAUGUGAAAUAAAUUAAUCCUUAAUUCUCA